rnacentral:rRNA from 1 species
UACAUGGGGUGCAAACGUUGCUCGGAAUUAUUGGGCGUAAAGCGCGCGUAGGCGGUUACUCAAGUCGGAUGUGAAAGCCCUCGGCUUAACUGAGGAAGUGCACCCGAAACUGAGUAGCUAGAGUACCAAAGAGGGUCGCGGAAUUCCCGGUGUAGAGGUGAAAUUCGUAGAUAUCGGGAGGAACACCAGUGGCGAAGGCGGCGAUCUGGGAAGAUACUGACGCUGAGGUGCGAAAGCGUGGGGAGCAAACAGG